UUCACACACACAUCCCGGAUAUAUAGCCCGGAUAAGUUUAACUUGCACGUGCACGGUAGACCAUUCUCACGUGCACGCAUGCUGGAUCAUGCAUGAUUUAGUAGUUCGAAAUGUGUUGUUAUGCUGACAGAUCGUGGGAAUUGCGCUUUCUCUGCGAGCAGUUACCACACUCAGUAAACAGCAGUGGCUAGUGAAAGGAGAGACCCAGUAUGGGGAAUGUUGGUUGCUACAAACCGUUUUCUUUGCAGAAAUCGACUUUCUCGAGAAACAAUUGACUCCAGAAAAGCUUUGCGUGAUGCAGCUAUCAUACAAGACGGCAGAGGAUGUGUGAAGAAUAUUGGAAGGUGGAUCGGGGAAUGACAUGUUAAAGUACUCUCUAGCAAAAUCUAGCGACUGCUGUGACAUUUCUUACCAGAUUUAUGACGUUUGUUUACCAGUUUACAAUGCUGUAUACGCAUAACUCAAUCUUAACCAGUUAUAGUCAUUACCAGUUGGAUAUAACAGUGUACGCUCUAGAUGUUAAAGAAAGACUCAAAGUAACAUGAUAAUGUUUUGUGCUUGUA